rnacentral:rRNA from 1 species
UCCCCUGACCGCGUAUGAAAGUACGUUUCACCUCGGGUGACAGGGAGACAGGUGGUGCAUGGUUGUCGUCAGCUCGUGUCGUGAGAUGUUGGGUUAAGUCCCGCAACGAGCGCAACCCCUACGUUUAGUUGCUAACGCGUGAAGGCGAGCACUCUAGACGAACUGCCGUUGACAAACGGAGGAAGGUGGGGAUGACGUCAAAUCAUCAUGCCCCUUAUGUUCUGGGCUACACACGUGCUACAAUGGCCGGUACAGACGGACGCAAAGCCGCGAGGUGGAGCAAAUCCUAAAAAGCCGGUCUCAGUUCGGAUUGCAGGCUGCAAUUCGCCUGCAUGAAGUCGGAAUCGCUAGUAAUCGCAGGUCAGCAUACUGCGGUGAAUACGUUCCCGGGCCUU